UACGAAGGGGGCUUGCGUUGUUCGGAAUUACUGGGCGUAAAGCGUAUGUAGGCGGAUCGUUAAGUCGGGGGUGAAAUCCCGAGGCUCAACCUCGGAACUGCCUUCGAUACUGGCGAUCUUGAGUCCGGGAGAGGUGAGUGGAACUGCGAGUGUAGAGGUGAAAUGCGUAGAGAUGCGCAAGAACACCAGUGGCGAAGGCGGCUCACUGGCCCGGUACUGACGCUGAAAGACGAAAGCGUGGGGAGCAAACAGG
rnacentral:rRNA from 1 species